rnacentral:rRNA from 1 species
CACGUAGGGGACGAGCGUUGUCCGGAUUCAUUGGGCGUAAAGCGCGCGUAGGCGGCUCGGAAAGUCGGGCGUGAAAUGCCGGGGCUCAACCCCGGGACUGCGUCCGAUACUUCCGAGCUAGAGGUAGGUAGGGGAGAUCGGAAUUCCUGGUGUAGCGGUGAAAUGCGCAGAUAUCAGGAGGAACACCGGUGGCGAAGGCGGAUCUCUGGGCCUUGCCUGACGCUGAGGCGCGAAAGCUAGGGGAGCGAACAGG